rnacentral:rRNA from 1 species
AUUGAACGCUGGCGGCAGGCCUAACACAUGCAAGUCGGGCGAGCGGCGGACGGGUGAGUAAUGUAUGGGGAUCUGCCUGAUGGAGGGGGAUAACUACUGGAAACGGUAGCUAAUACCGCAUACCAUCAGAUGAACCCAUAUGGGAUUAGCUAGUAGGUGAGGUAACGGCUUACCUAGGCGACGAUCCCUAGCUGGUCUGAGAGGCUGAUCAGCCAGACUGGGACUGGGACACGGCCAAGACUCCGCGGGGAGGCAGCAGUGGGGAAUAUUGGACAAUGGGCGCGAGCUGGAUCCAGCCAUGGCGCGUGUAUGAAGAAGGGGGUCGGGUUGUAAAGGUCUGGCGGGCAGGAAGCGUUACCGACAGAAAAAGCUCCGGCUAACUCCGUGCCAGCAGCCGCGGUAAUAC